AUGAACGCUGGCGGCGUGCCUCAUACAUGCCAGUCGAGCGAACAGACGAGGAGCUUGCUCCUCUGACGUUAGCGGCGGACGGGUGAGUAACACGUGGAUAACCUACCUAUAAGACUGGGAUAACUUCGGGAAACCGGAGCUAAUACCGGAUAAUAUAUUGAACCGCAUGGUUCAAUAGUGAAAGACGGUUUUGCUGUCACUUAUAGAUGGAUCCGCGCCGCAUUAGCUAGUUGGUAAGGUAACGGCUUACCAAGGCAACGAUGCGUAGCCGACCCGAGAGGGUGAUCGGCCACACUGGAACUGAGACACGGUCCAGACUCCUACGGGAGGCAGCAGUAGGGAAUCUUCCGCAAUGGGCGAAAGCCUGACGGAGCAACGCCGCGUGAGUGAUGAAGGUCUUCGGAUCGUAAAACUCUGUUAUUAGGGAAGAACAAAUGUGUAAGUAACUAUGCACGUCUUGACGGUACCUAAUCAGAAAGCCACGGCUAACUACGUG
rnacentral:rRNA from 1 species